UUAAGUGAGAAAGCGUACAGGGCGGAUGCCUUGGCAAUCAGAGGCGAAGAAGGACGUGCUAAUCUGCGAAAAGCGUGGGUGAGUUGAUAAGAAGCGUUUAACCCACGAUGUCCGAAUGGGGAAACCCGAUAGGCGAAGAGCCUAUCAUUGCGAGGUGAAUAAAAUAGCCUCGUAAGGCGAACCGGGAGAACUGAAACAUCUAAGUACCCCGAGGAAAAGAAAUCAACCGAGAUUCUGUGAGUAGCGGCGAGCGAAAGCGGAGUAGCCAGUAAGUGAUAGCAUGUGAUUUAGGAGAAUUAGCUGGGAAGCUAAGCGACACAGGGUGAUAGCCCCGUAUCUGAAAGAUUGCAUGUGGUACUAAGCUUACGAUAAGUAGGGCGGGACACGAGGAAUCCUGUUUGAAGAUGGGGGGACCAUCCUCCAAGGCUAAAUACUCCUGAUUGACCGAUAGUGAACCAGUACUGUGAAGGAAAGGCGAAAAGAACCCCGGUGAGGGGAGUGAAAUAGAACCUGAAACCCUGUACGUACAAGCAGUGGGAGCCCCAUCAUUAAGCCAAAGGCUCGAUGAUGAGUAGCGCACCUUUUGUUGGAAGUGCGGUUGACUUCACGCAGUGAAGUCUAACCCGAGAAAAUCAAACAGAGGGGGCUUAAUGAUGGGGUGACUGCGUACCUUUUGUAUAAUGGGUCAGCGACUUAUAUUUUGUAGCGAGGUUAACUGAAUAAGGGAGCCGAAGGGAAACCGAGUCUUAACUGGGCGGUUAGUUGCAAGGUAUAGACCCGAAACCCGGUGAUCUAGCCAUGGGCAGGUUGAAGGUUGGGUAACACUAACUGGAGGACCGAACCGACUAAUGUUGAAAAAUUAGCGGAUGACCUGUGGCUGGGGGUGAAAGGCCAAUCAAACCGGGAGAUAGCUGGUUCUCCCCGAAAUCUAUUUAGGUAGAGCCUUGUGUGAAUACCUUUGGGGGUAGAGCACUGUUUCGGCUAGGGGCCCAUCCCGGGUUACCAAACCGAUGCAAACUCCGAAUACCAAAGAGUAAUGCACAGGAGACACACGGCGGGUGCUAACGUCCGUCGUGGAGAGGGAAACAACCCAGACCGCCAGCUAAGGUCCCAAAAUCUAUAUUAAGUGGGAAACGAAGUGGGAAGGCUUAGACAGCUAGGAUGUUGGCUUAGAAGCAGCCACCAUUUAAAGAAAGCGUAAUAGCUCACUAGUCGAGUCGGCCUGCGCGGAAGAUGUAACGGGGCUAAAAUAUAGUACCGAAGCUGCGGCAUCAGUAGCGAUACUGUUGGGUAGGGGAGCGUUGUGUAAGCGGAAGAAGGUGAUUUGAGAGGAUUGCUGGACGUAUCACAAGUGCGAAUGCUGACAUAAGUAACGAUAAAACGGGUGAAAAACCCGUUCGCCGGAAGACCAAGGGUUCCUGUCCAACGUUAAUCGGGGCAGGGUGAGUCGGCCCCUAAGGCGAGGCUGAAAAGCGUAGUCGAUGGGAAACGGGUUAAUAUUCCCGUACUUGGAUAAACUGCGAUGUGGGGACGGAGUAGGUUAGGUUAGCGUACUGUUGGAGAUGUACGUUUAAGUUGGUAGGUGGGUGGACUAGGCAAAUCCGGUUCACUGUAAACACUGAGAGAUGAUGACGAGGCACUAAGGUGCUGAAGUAAUUGAUACCACACUUCCAGGAAAAGCCACUAAGCUUCAGGUUUAUCUAAACCGUACUGAAAACCGACACAGGUGGUCAGGUAGAGAAUACUCAGGCGCUUGAGAGAACUCGGGUGAAGGAACUAGGCAAAAUAGCACCGUAACUUCGGGAGAAGGUGCGCUGGCGUAGUGUGAAGUUCUUUACGGAUGGAGCAUGAACCAGUCGAAGAUACCAGCUGGCUGCAACUGUUUAUUAAAAACACAGCACUCUGCAAACACGAAAGUGGACGUAUAGGGUGUGAUGCCUGCCCUGUGCUGGAAGGUUAAUUGAUGGUGUAAUCGAAAGAGAAGCUCCUGAUCGAAGCCCCAGUAAACGGCGGCCGUAACUAUAACGGUCCUAAGGUAGCGAAAUUCCUUGUCGGGUAAGUUCCGACCUGCACGAAUGGCAUAAUGAUGGCCAGGCUGUCUCCACCCGAGACUCAGUGAAAUUGAAAUCGCCGUGAAGAUGCGGUGUACCCGCGGCUAGACGGAAAGACCCCGUGAACCUUUACUAUAGCUUGACACUGAACCUUGAAUUUUGAUGUGUAGGAUAGGUGGGAGACUAUGAAGCGGUAACGCCAGUUAUCGUGGAGUCGUUGUUGAAAUACCACCCUUUAACGUUUGAUGUUCUAACGAAGCGCCUGAAACGGGUGUUCGGACAGUGUCUGGUGGGUAGUUUGACUGGGGCGGUCUCCUCCCAAAGUGUAACGGAGGAGCACGAAGGUUUGCUAAUGACGGUCGGACAUCGUCAGGUUAGUGCAAUGGUAUAAGCAAGCUUAACUGCGAGACAGACAAGUCGAGCAGGUGCGAAAGCAGGUCAUAGUGAUCCGGUGGUUCUGAAUGGAAGGGCCAUCGCUCAACGGAUAAAAGGUACUCCGGGGAUAACAGGCUGAUACCGCCCAAGAGUUCAUAUCGACGGCGGUGUUUGGCACCUCGAUGUCGGCUCAUCACAUCCUGGGGCUGAAGUAGGUCCCAAGGGUAUGGCUGUUCGCCAUUUAAAGUGGUACGCGAGCUGGGUUUAGAACGUCGUGAGACAGUUCGGUCCCUAUCUGCCGUGGGCGUUGGAGAAUUGAGAGGGGCUGCUCCUAGUACGAGAGGACCGGAGUGGACGCAUCACUGGUGUACCAGUUGUCUCGCCAGAGGCACUGCUGGGUAGCUAAAUGCGGAAGAGAUAAGUGCUGAAAGCAUCUAAGCACGAAACUUGCCUUAAGAUGAGUUCUCCCAGUCUAUAAGACUGUAAGGGUUGUUGGAGACGACGACGUAGAUAGGCUGGGUGUGUAAGCGGUGUGAGCCGUUGAGCUAACCAGUACUAAUUGCCCGAGGGGCUUAACUAU
rnacentral:rRNA from 1 species